UACGUAGGUCCCGAGCGUUAUCCGGAUUUAUUGGGCGUAAAGCGAGCGCAGGUGGUUUAUUAAGUCUGGUGUAAAGGGCAGUGGCUCAACCAUUGUAUGCAUUGGAAACUGGUAGACUUGAGUGCAGGAGAGGAGAGUGGAAUUCCAUGUGUAGCGGUGAAAUGCGUAGAUAUAUGGAGGAACACCGGUGGCGAAAGCGGCUCUCUGGCCUGUAACUGACACUGAGGCUCGAAAGCGUGGGGAGCAAACAGG
rnacentral:rRNA from 1 species